GAGGAGCCCGCGGCUGAUUAGCUAGUUGGUGGGGUAAAGGCUCACCAAGGCAAUGAUCGGUAGCCGGCCUGAGAGGGCACACGGCCACACUGGCACUGAAACACGGGCCAGACUCCUACGGGAGGCAGCAGUGGGGAAUCUUGCACAAUGGGGGAAACCCUGAUGCAGCGACGCCGCGUGAAUGAUGAAGCCCUUCGGGGUGUAAAGUUCUUUCGGCAGGGACGAUAAUGACGGUACCUGAAGAAGAAGCUGCGGCUAACUACGUGCCAGCAGCCGCGGUAAUACGUAGGCAGCGAGCGUUGUUCGGAGUUACUGGGCGUAAAGAGUGCGUAGGCGGUUUUCUAAGUUUGGUGUGAAAUCUCCCGGCUUAACUGGGAGGGUGCGCCGAAGACUGGAAGGCUUGAGUAUGGGAGAGGUAAGCGGAAUUCCUGGUGUAGCGGUGAAAUGCGUAGAUAUCAGGAGGAACACCUACGGUGUAGACGGCUUACUGGACCAUAACUGACGCUGAGGCACGAAAGCGUGGGUAGCAAACAGGAUUAGAUACCCUGGUAGUCCACGCCCUAAACGAUGCAUACUUGGUGU
rnacentral:rRNA from 1 species